GGCGCAACCCCGGAAUGCCGGAGCAGGAAACUCCUUUUUUGGGCCACGGAAGUUCCAUAAAAGGCGUGGAGGAAAUUCCAAAUAUGGUAUUUUUUUCCCAGGAGACAAGUGGUUAUGUGUUGCCUUUGAAGCAACUAAAGGAGUCAGUUUCAAGGAAAGUGUAA